GUCUUCGGCCAUGCCACCCUGAACAAGCCUGAUCCCGUCUGAUCUCGGAAGCUAGGCAGGGUCCGGCCUGGUUAUUACUUGCAUGAGAGACCACCUAGGAAGACCAGGUGUUGUAGGUG
rnacentral:rRNA from 1 species